AAUAGAUACCCGGGUAGUCCACGCCGUAAACGAUGGAUACUAGCUGUUUGAGCGCAAGUUUGAGUGGCUAAGCGAAAGUGAUAAGUAUCCCACCUGGGGAGUACGGGCGCAAGCCUGAAACUCAAAGGAAUUGACGGGGGCCCGCACAAGCGGUGGAGCAUGUGGUUUAAUUCGAUGAUACGCGAGGAACCUUACCAGGGCUUAAAUGUAGAUUGACGUAUUUGGAAACAGAUAUUUCUUCGGACAAUUUACAAGGUGCUGCAUGGUUGUCGUCAGCUCGUGCCGUGAGGUGUCAGGUUAAGUCCUAUAACGAGCGCAACCCCUGUUGUUAGUUGCCAGCGAGUAAUGUCGGGAACUCUAGCAAGACUGCCAGUAUAAACUGUGAGGAAGGUGGGGAUGACGUCAAAUCAUCACGGCCCUUACGUCCUGGGCCACACACGUGCUACAAUGGCCGGUACAGAGAGCAGCCACUUAGCGAUAAGGAGCGAAUCUAUAAAGCCGGUCACAGUUCGGAUCGGAGUCUGC
rnacentral:rRNA from 1 species